rnacentral:rRNA from 1 species
UACGUAGGGUCCGAGCGUUGUCCGGAAUUAUUGGGCGUAAAGAGCUUGUAGGCGGUCUGUCGCGUCUGCUGUGAAAAUCCGGGGCUCAACCCCGGACUUGCAGUGGGUACGGGCAGACUAGAGUGUGGUAGGGGAGACUGGAAUUCCUGGUGUAGCGGUGAAAUGCGCAGAUAUCAGGAGGAACACCGAUGGCGAAGGCAGGUCUCUGGGCCACUACUGACGCUGAUGCGCGAAAGCCAGGGGAGCGAACGGG